rnacentral:antisense_RNA from 1 species
CGCCGCGGGCUCUGCCCGCUCGCCUGCUCGCCUAGUGGGGGAGAGGGGAGCGGGGCCGACACAGGACUGCAGUUGACAGCAGAUAACUGAAAGCUUGGAAAGUGAAACCGUGGAUAAGCAGGGGAACUGUGGCAUCCCAUUUAAAAUUGCUUCUGAAGAGAAGCAUGAGGUUACAUCUGUAAUCUCCCUGCAGCAGAGUCAACUGCAUAAGAAACCAAAAGACACAUCUGCUCCAUGCCAGCUUCGAUAAUUUCUUUGUACCUUCGGCGAAAGAAGCCCAUCUGAAAGGCAGAAAGAAAGAGGAGAAGCUGAGUUAGAAGUGCUGAAGAAUCAGCCAUUGUGACCCCAAGGCAGCCUGUCCCUGGGUAGGUGUGACCUGCACUCACAGGGCUGGGGAGGCUUGGAGGACCCCUCAGAUUAGAGAAAACACUGGCAAGAAAAACAUCCUGUGGAGACAUUUUUCAAAAUGCAUGGACUUCCUGCGGGUGAUAUUAGGUAAGCUGUUUGUUCCUUGUAAAAUGCAUCUGGUGUAGUGUUUUCCAGACUGUGUGCUGGGGAAUACUAAUUACUGAGAGCUGUUCAAAGGUGUUUGGGAGUAAAAAAAGGUUUCAUGGCUGGGCACAGUGGCUCAUGCCUGUAAUCCCAGCACUUUGGGAGGGAGGCUGAGACAGGCAGAUCACUUGAGGUCAGGAGUUUGAGAGCAGCCUGGCCAACAUGGUGAAAUCCUGUCUCUACUAAAAACACAAAAAUUAGCUGGGCAUGGUGGUGUGUGCCUGUAAUCCCAGCUACUUGGGAGGCUGAGGCACGAGAAUCGCUUGAACCUGGGAGGCGGAGGUUGCAGUGAGCUGAGAUCGUGCCACCACUGCACUCCAGCCUGGGCGACAGAGUGAGACUCCAUCUCA